rfam:Felis catus isolate Cinnamon breed Abyssinian chromosome B1, whole genome shotgun sequence.
ACCUGGGUGGCUCAGUCGGUUAAGCUGCUGACUUUGGCUCAGGUCAUGAUCUCACAGUUGGUGGGUUCAAACCCCACAUCAGGCU